rnacentral:rRNA from 1 species
UACGGGGGGAGCAAGCGUUGUUCGGAUUUACUGGGCGUAAAGGGUGCGUAGGCGGGUUUUUAAGUCAGAGGUGAAAUCCUGGAGCUCAACUCCAGAACUGCCUUUGAUACUGGCGAUCUCGAGUCCGGGAGAGGUGAGUGGAACUGCGAGUGUAGAGGUGAAAUUCGUAGAUAUUCGCAAGAACACCAGUGGCGAAGGCGGCUCACUGGCCCGGUACUGACGCUGAGGUGCGAAAGCGUGGGGAGCAAACAGGG